rnacentral:rRNA from 1 species
UACGUAGGGUGCAAGCGUUGUCCGGAAUUAUUGGGCGUAAAGAGCUCGUAGGCGGUCUGUCGCGUCGGCUGUGAAAUCCCGAGGCUCAACCUCGGGUCUGCAGUCGAUACGGGCAAACUAGAGUAUUGCAGGGGAGACUGGAAUUCCUGGUGUAGCGGUGAAAUGCGCAGAUAUCAGGAGGAACACCGAUGGCGAAGGCAGGUCUCUGGGCCAUAACUGACGCUGAGAAGCGAAAGCAUGGGGAGCGAACAGG